GGGGAGAUGCCGGAGCGGUCAAACGGGCUGGGUUUAGGACCCAGUAGCAUCUUGCUUACGGGGGUUCGAAUCCUCCUCUCCCCA
rnacentral:tRNA from 1 species